rnacentral:rRNA from 1 species
GGUUGCGAUCAUACCAGCACUAAUUCAUCGGAUCCCAUCAGAACUCCGCAGUUAAGCGUGCUUGGGCGAGAGUAGUACUAGGAUGGGUGACCCCCUGGGAAGUCCUCGUGUUGCAACCC